rnacentral:ncRNA from 1 species
AAUCGGCGUACGGUGUCGGGUACGUGUUACCCAUGAUUGAGCCGAGGGGGAUGAGCCUCAGUAACAGCAGCUCCGGCUGGAAAACUGGAACAUACAUCGUCGGGUAGAGUUUGGUAGGUCAGCAAUGAUUCGAAGAAGUCGGGCCCG